GUAGUGGGGGACAACGUUCCGAAAGGAGCGCUAAUACCGCAUACGUCCUACGGGAGAAAGUGGGGGAUCUUCGGACCUCACGCUAUCAGAUGAGCCUAGGUCGGAUUAGCUAGUAGGUGGGGUAAUGGCUCACCUAGGCGACGAUCCGUAACUGGUCUGAGAGGAUGAUCAGUCACACUGGAACUGAGACACGGUCCAGACUCCUACGGGAGGCAGCAGUGGGGAAUAUUGGACAAUGGGCGAAAGCCUGAUCCAGCCAUGCCGCGUGUGUGAAGAAGGUCUUCGGAUUGUAAAGCACUUUAAGUUGGGAGGAAGGGCAGUAAGUUAAUACCUUGCUGUUUUGACGUUACCAACAGAAUAAGCACCGGCUAACUUCGUGCCAGCAGCCGCGGUAAUACGAAGGGUGCAAGCGUUAAUCGGAAUUACUGGGCGUAAAGCGCGCGUAGGUGGUUUGGUAAGAUGGAUGUGAAAUCCCCGGGCUCAACCUGGGAACUGCAUCCAUAACUGCCUGACUAGAGUACGGUAGAGGGUGGUGGAAUUUCCUGUGUAGCGGUGAAAUGCGUAGAUAUAGGAAGGAACACCAGUGGCGAAGGCGACCACCUGGGACUGAUACUGACACUGAGGUGCGAAAGCGUGGGGAGCAAACAGGAUUAGAUACCCUGGGUAGUCCACGCCGUAAACGAUGUCGACUAGCCGUUGGGAUCCUUGAGAUCUUAGUGGCGCAGCUAACGCGAUAAGUCGACCGCCUGGGGAGUACGGCCGCAAGGUUAAAACUCAAAUGAAUUGACGGGGGCCCGCACAACCGUGGAGCAUGUGUUUAAUUCGAAUCAACGCGAAGAACCUUUACCCUGGCCUUGACUGUCCGGAUUCUGCAAGAUGCGGAAGUGCCUUCCGUGAAUCGGAACACAGUGCUGCAUGCUGUCGUCAGCUCCUGUCCGCAAAGGUGCGCUAGUCCGUAACGAGCUGUACUCCUUGGCCUCUACUACAGCACGUGAUGGUGG
rnacentral:rRNA from 1 species